AGCGCGCGGCGGGUCGGGCUCGGCCAGCUGGGGCGAGCCGGCCUGUUCGCUGGCUCGGGCGCCCGGUUCCGGGCUGGGCAAGGAGCGCUUGGCCAUGAGCCGCGGGACAGCCCAGGCGGGACGGAUGCGCCCUCCAGGGCCCAGGCGAGGCCGCGCGGUGCAGAACCGCCGGGAUUUCUCCAACCCGGUUACUCCCCUGCUGGUGCCUCCCUCCUUGGCGCGCUUCCCACCUGCGAUCGGCGCCCUCUUCGCAGUCACGAACUCGCCAGCAGCUAGCAGCACUGACUAGUAGGAGGGCCCGCCGGAGGAGAGGACAUGCUCUGGAGUCAGAAGACAGCGAAAAGAGAAGCAGAAGCCCCGGUGGCAAGAGUCUGAAGCAGGAAGGAUGACUGUAGCCUGUGGAUUGUACUGCAGUAGGAAACUGUCCUAGCAAGGCUCCACUUUGCCCCAGCUUCAAGCUGGAAAGGAGGAGAACAUGAAACAUUGCUUGAAGACAAUGGCCGAGACAGCAGGUCCCACCCUGCACAGCCACCAGCAUCUCUCCCCUCAGCCCUGUCUCCUCUUCUGCAGUUGGGAUCUGCACAUUUAAGCCUGAAAUUGUCCUGUGAAGUGAAGUAUGAUCGGACAGCCUCUUUUCAGCUUUUAUGACAAUGGAGACAGAGGAAUUGUGGCUCUUGCCAAGGUCACAGGAUUGGAAUACAGAGCCAAGCCACCCCAGGACAUGCAAGAGCCUCAGAAGGGAAAAAAGCCCAGCAGGAAGGGAGAACAAGUAGCCUCUGUCCUGAAGUUGUAACAGCCAGGGGCCAGGAUGGAGGAGGAGGACCCCAUAAUCUGCCCAUCUGGGACUUGGCAGGGGACCUGGGAAAAUGUACCCCAACCCAUCCCUUAAGGGCCUUUGUCUUUGGCCCAUUGGCCUAGCAUCUACUUCUUCACCGUGUCUGUUCUUGUCACACCUAGUCAGGUCUGUUUGGGUCUGAGGUGCAUGGAACAUUCUGGGUAGGCCUCCAGCAAACGGAAGCUCUUCACCGUGUUUCCAGCCUGGGACCAAGGGCAGCAUACUGGCAAAGUUGCCAAAGCAAGGGACUCCAGCCUCUUAGGAGUUAAUGACUCCCUCUCCCCAGCUGUCCUCCCCUUGGUGCUCCUCUUCCUCCCUCCUCCUGCUCACAGCAGGCAGGGCCUAGACCCGGGAGCCAUGCUGCUGUGCUGUUGCCAGGGGAGCACGGAGGCAGAUCUGAGCUAUGCAGGGAAAAGGCCCAGCCUGUCAAAGUGUCUGAGAUGAACCGCCGCCGUCCCUGUGCAGCUGGGCUCAGACGUGUCUCAGCUCUUGUUCUGUGCCUGAGAAUGGCGAAACCCAGUGAGGUUCAAGGGCAAACUCGCUAUUCAUUAGUCAGGGGUUCUUGACGUCCCGUCUCUCCCAGGGAUGAGUUCCCCCCUCCUCUUUCUCCCCCUCCUAUGACACAUUCCUGGGUGCCUUUGGUGAGGACUGCACACCCUCCUCCUGCCUAGCCCCCUCUCCAAAGGCCCCUGAAUAAACUCCCCCCAAGGAGACCAGGCAGGGCAGAGACAAUGGCUGCAGGAAAUCAUUCAGGCGGGACAUGCUGGCCUGCCCUCCACCCAGUCCCCCUGUGGGCCCCACUCCCUUCUGAUUCAGGGCACCCUUGGGCCCCCAGCCUAUACAGGCCUGGACAGGAAGAAACCACUGGGAACCACCCUAAGGACAACAUGCUAGUCCAGUGCCAUUCUUCGCUGGCUCUGUGGGUGCCUUUGUGGCCUGUACCGACUGGCUGGCUAAUUUUGUGGUUUCUGUACCAUCACAUGCCUAUUUUAAGACACUCUCCAGCACUGUCGGUUAGGGAGUGUAAAUUUUGCAAUAUUUUCUGAAAUGUGGCAAUAUCAAAAUGUAAAAGGCACACAUACUUGGUCACAAACAAAUGGCACUAUUUACUCUGUGGGCAUAUUUGUAAAAGUUGCCAAAGAAUUAUAUACAAGGAUGUUCAUCAGAGCAUUUCUUUUGAAGAGUAAAGAAAUGGACAUGAACCUGUGGUCCGUUCAUACGGUGGAAUACCUAUGCAGCUGUAAAAAUCAGUGUGGUAGAUCUCCGUAUAUGAGUUGAUGUGGAAGGUUGGCCAGUUCACAUGAUAAGGUGAAUAGAAUAAGUUACAGAACAGGCUGUAGAGUAUGAUCUUAUUUGUAGAUGUUUAAAACUGAGUCAUAAGUAUGCUUAUAUACAGAUCGUUUCUGGAAGUAUGUACUGGAAGUCUACCUCUGGGGAGUGGGGAUGGGGGAGUGCACUCUUCUAUACUGUUAUAUUUUCUUUUCAUGCUCCUAAGGUACUUUUAUUGGAAGAUGUAAAGCGGUUCAAUGUAAUAGGCUUAACUUCUGUCAACUAAGUUGGCGUGGGUGCUUUAAGAGGGUGGUAGUGAUGUUGCUGGAGAAAGUAUCCCACAGUCACUGGUGGCUUCAGCCACGGGCCAUUUUGGGGCCUAAUAAUCACAUAUCAUCAUGGUUGCUAGUGUUAAUCGAAAACCUACUAAGUGCCAGGCUUACUGUCUCUGGGUCUUGCUUACGUGGAUGUCAUUUUUCCAGUUGCACCAAAUCGAAAGAGGUUAAUUGGUUUGUUGGAGUUCCUUUGUAGGUGAAGGGCAGAGCCAGGAGCUUGGCUAGGGACAGGGGAGGUGAGUGGGGGAUGGUGGAUAGGUCUUGGCUCCCAGUUUCCUUCUGGGCAGACAUUGCCCCUCUGCCCUGAGGACCUGCUUGUUUGGGGGAAGAGGCCUUUAGAGGCACCAGGGUCAUGCCAGGUGUUGGACAUGGUGAACUGGGAAGUGCUCCCAUCUGGCCACAGCGCAGAAGUAUCACCGUGCUGGGGGAUGGGGAACAGGGCUGUGAAUGGGCCUAUUUGCAUAAGCAGCAUGUGUCUGGAGAGAAAGACAUCACAGAGCAGAAGAGUGCGGGUGCCCAGGAGUGCACUUGCCACCCCUACUUCAUCCCUGAAAGAGUAAAUGGCCUGGAAGGUGUCUCUGAGAGGUAAUGCCGCACACCACCCUCCCUGGGGGCAGGGUCAGGCUACACCUGCCUUAGGUCGGGGGCUGCAGCAGCCUGAGAGCUCUCAGUAGGGCCUCAGUAGCCUGGGAGGGAGCAGGGGCAGGGGGCAGGGAAAGAGGCGUAAUGGGGCUGUCCAGAGGGGCCUGGGAAACCUGGUCCCUGAGGCCUGGGCACAGCUACAAUCACUUCAAAUUGGCUGUGGGGCCAGUGGACUGGGAAGGAAAAAAGCAAUAAGAGUGACCAAGUGCAGAAGGCUGUCAGGUCCCAGGUCACAUGCCUUAGUGCAGUGACUCCUCAUCAUUUUAUGGGGUGUGGGUGUCGUUGGUACACCCAUUUUACAGAUGAGGACACCGAGGCCCAGAAAAGUUAAGUUACAUGUCCUAAGUCACACAGCUUGUAAGUGCCAGAACUGAGAUCAAAACCAAGUCUCUUUGACUUUAAAGUCUGUACUCUGACCCCAAAGAGAUCCUGUUUGGCCACUUAUAGGAGGUCCCUAAAGCUGCAGACUCCCCUUGCCGGCACCCACAUAUAGAGACAUUAACCCUUCCCCUGCAGGGUCACCUCAAAUAGUCUUUUAGCUGGGCUUCUCCUGCAAUUCCACCUAAUGCCAUCCCCUGGGUUUUGCCCAAACCUGAACUGGGCAGUGGGGUGAGAGGAGGGGUUUACAGGGUUACAGAGCCUCAUACAGAUAGGAGCCCAUGGCUGCUGGUCAUCUGCAUUCCUGCAGGAUUGGCUGUUCCUUGGGGUCCUUGGCAGGAAAAUGAGGAUUGCUCCGAGGCCUGCUCCAGUACUUCCCAGAGGCUGGCCUGGUGUGGGGCUCUGGGAAGGCUGAGGCUGGAGAAGCGUAAGUAGGAGGGCAGAGAUGGCACUCAGGUAGCUUGAAUCACCAGGACCCUUCCAAGCCCCACAGGUUCUGAGGGAGUACUAGGGCCAGCUCUGGGAGAGGUCUCUUCCUAUGCUGUGAACCCCCUGCCUUUCUUGCAGCCUACAACGAAUAAAUUUUCUUUGCAA
ensembl:lncRNA MIR9-3HG MIR9-3 host gene